GGGUCAAUGAUGAGAACCUUAUAUUGUCCUGAAGAAAGGUGAUGACUUAAUUCAUGCUCAAUAGGAUUACGCUGAGGCCC
ensembl:snoRNA SNORD115 Small nucleolar RNA SNORD115